GGAAUCUUCCACAAUGGGCGAAAGCCUGAUGGAGCAAUGCCGCGUGAGUGAUGAAGGUUUUCGGAUCGUAAAGCUCUGUUGCCAGGGAAGAACGUCCGGGUGAGUAACUGCACCCGGAGUGACGGUACCUGAGAAGAAAGCCCCGGCUAACUACGUGCCAGCAGCCGCGGUAAUACGUAGGGGGCAAGCGUUGUCCGGAAUUAUUGGGCGUAAAGCGCGUGCAGGCGGCGGAUUAAGUCGGAUGUUUAAGAUCGGGGCUCAACCCCGAUUCGCAUCCGAAACUGGCCCGCUUGAGUGUAGGAGAGGAAAGUGGAAUUCCACGUGUAGCGGUGAAAUGCGUAGAGAUGUGGAGGAACACCAGUGGCGAAGGCGACUUUCUGGCCUAUAACUGACGCUGAGGCGCGAAAGCGUGGGGAGCAAACAGGAUUAGAUACCCUUG
rnacentral:rRNA from 1 species